GGGAGAUGUGGUCACCAUCAUCGAGGCCGUGGAGGGCAAAGGCUGGUACCAUGCCAGACACAACGAGACAGGGCAGGAGGGGCUGCUGGCGGCCAGUGCGCUGCGGGAGCGCGGUGCCAUCCGCGUGGACCCCAAACUCAGCCUCAUGCCCUGGUUCCACGGGAAGAUCUCGGGGGUGGAGGCGGUGCAGGAGCUGCAGCCCCCUGAGGACGGGCUGUUCCUGGUGCGUGAGUCCGUGCGGCACCCCGGGGACUACGUGCUGUGCGUGAGCUUCGGCAGGGAGGUGAU